rnacentral:lncRNA from 1 species
UGUGCAGUUCUAUGUAUCCAAAUGGAAGUGUUUGUUUUGUGUGUGGUAGUCGACGCGUAUCGAAAUGUAAUCCCUGCGCUUCGAGCAUCUCUCUAGCCCAUGUGUGGCGCCGCAUGGUCGUGCCCAUGAUGAUGAGGGUCGGCUCGACGCGUGCACGGACACAUCACGUGAACAGAUGUUGUGUUGAUGCUGGCCGUUUAACUUUCCGACGUCGAUCAUGGGUCGCAAGCGCACCCGGCCGGGGCGGACACGCUCGCUCUCCGAGGAGCAGGUCCAGGAGGUUCUACAAAACUACGAUAUGGAGUGCGAAAAACAAAUGGCCCGUAUUGAGCGCAGUGCAUACCGUUCGCUGGAGGCGGCGCGCGCGCAAAUGGAAGCUCGUACCCACAAGAUUCCGCCCCAUGUACGCCAUGUUUUGCUUCAAGAAUACUACGACAUGCAUGCAAGCCCUGCUGCUGCCGAACGUGGGCGGCAUAUACCUCCCCUGGCUAUGGCAAGCAUGCCGGAUAUGUCUUGGACUACAACGUCCUUGGCUACAAGCUAACGACGAGCCGGUGCGCGCUUCCGUUGAUUCGGGAACGAAAGUGGGAGGCGCAAGCGCCAGCGGCGUUCCUGAUGAGUCACAACUCCCUCUUCACCGACCCCAUGCUGGGUCGACUGCGAGCUGGAGCAGCCGAGCGACUUGCAAAUCUCAUUCACUCUGUACAUGUCAAAUAUGCAGACAUACCUCUGUGUUGUCACACUCAGCUCCUGAGCAAUGCGCUGGGGUGCCACGCUAAAGUUAUCCAGGUGCAAAGCAAGCACCACGAUAGUGGCCAACAAGCGGGUCUCGCCCGUGGAAGUGACGGUGGAGCUGUUGUCAGCGCCGGGGACGUACCUUUGCGAUCCGCGCGAUUGUUCGGCAAACUGUGACAAAAGGUAUUCCAUAACCAUGUCCUUUUCAUUUUCAGGCAGGCGCAUCUUCUGCGACAGAAGCGUCGCUCCAUCAUCGCCCUUGUUUAGCAGCCGAGUGUGUUUGCGGAACGUCAAUAGGAUGGCCACCACAUAGCCCAGGCGGACUAGUUCCAUGGCUUUGGACGUGGAUCCAGCGUCAUUUUGCGCCGUCUGCACAUGUUGCCAUAGAAGAGGCAGGAGCCACGGCGACGGCAGCGACAAAACUCGCAUGGCCUUGCCGAGCUCCGACGAUGAAGUACACUUGAGCAGGAA